CUUUAAAGCUGCUAUAUUUAGAAAAGUCUAGCAAAUACUGUCACUCAAAAGCCUACUUUUCCUUCCAAUUAAAAAGAUAUGCCAAAAGGACCUCUUCUAUUUGUUUUUGUAUAACACACUCUCCAGUGCUUUCCGCUGUCAGUUAUAUGCCUUGCUCUCUGUUCACAGACAGAAGAGAAGAUACGCCAGGAGGAAAGAGCACUCCACAGCAACUUCUUGCAAGAAGCCCUGUGGUGGGACUGAGCCUUUAUCCACAUUAAUGAGGCAUGCAUGAACAUGGCCUGAGCAUUUGGAGUGUGGCUGGAAGACACGUGGUUCUUUACUUGGAGCUGAUGUGAAAUGCAGGCAGUCUCUUGGUCUACUGAUGGGAACUUCUUUAAAAAGUCAGCAACCAGAAUACCACCCGAAGACAUCUGUUCCUCUCAUUCUUUAGUGAAGUGCAGAUGGAGACUCCUACGUGGUUUUGCCUCCCUGGCCUUGGUGAGAGUCUUCAUGUCGGUUUUUACCACUGCCUGGAAAUCUCUUCCUCCUCUUCUUCACCCAGGUACCUUUGGCUCAUUCCUUAAAGCCCAGCUCAAAUGUGCCUCCUCAGGUGAACUUCCUGACAUUCCAGAAAAGGUCAAGAAUCAUUUAAUAUAGACUGAUUGCAACUAUUACAGUUUGUGAAGAUCAUUUGUGUCCAUAUUUGAUUAAUGCAUUGUUUUACAACUAGAUCAUAAAAUUCUUGAAGGCAGGGUCAGUCUUUGUUUUAUUCACCAUUUUAUCCCCAGAAUCUAGCACAAUGUGUGCCAUAUACUAUGGCUGAAUUAUAUAUUUCUUGAGUGAAUGAAUGCAUAUAUUAGCUUAAUGAGUUUAAUGUGAAAAAAAAUCUUGGUUGUCCAUUAAAAAAAAUUAACUCCAUUUUUUCCCUAAGGCUAUAAUUACAAACUUAUUUAGGACUAUCCAAGUGUAAUAAAUAAAAUGAGCAUUUUUUCUUCUAACGCAAGUCACAAUAACCCUUUCAUUUCCACACUUACCAUCCAUACCUUUAGUUUCCUUAGGAAAAUGCUUUGGUGGAGAGUUUAAUAUGAUGGAGGGAAAUUCUUAGGUAUAUUUAAUAUUUCCUUUUUUUAUUAGUUAAAUAUGAAAAAUGUUGUUGAAAAGCAUUCUAACAUCAUCCUUUAGUGAACAUUGUAUUCAGUUUAGCCAUCUGCAGUGGCUUUUUCUGAUAUGUCAACUUGGGUAGGCUACAGUCCCCAGUUAUUCAAUCAAACACCAAUCUAGGUGUUUCUGUGAGAUAUUUUACAGAUGUAGUUUAGGCCCCUAAUCAGUUGACUUUACUUAAAGUCCAAAAAUACCCCGGAAUUUAUGGCUGGAUAUUAUAGGUAGGGCUGACUGAAUCAGUGGAAAGACUGUAAAAGCAGGGUUGAGGCUUCUCCCAAAUGGAGAAUAAAUUCUCUCUGUGAACAGAAGCUUUGGCCCAUGCUUUUGAGUUCCAGCUUCCCUUUCACCCUACAGAUUCCAGAUUUGCUAAGCCAGUACCCACAUCUGUGUAUGCCAAUUCCUUGUAAAAAAA